ACUUGCUAUAGGAAAGUGGGGGGGGGGGGGGGUCUGCAGGGUGUCACCUCUGUUCUUUUGCCCCUCCCUAGUAUAUCUUUCAGGCUAUGACAUCCUACCCCUAGCCCCCAUCAUUUCCCCACUUCAAACAUUCCAACACUCUGCCUGGCUAAAAGCGCUCUACAACCCAGCUAAGGAGCGCAAUUCAAACUUCACACAGUUGAGACAGCACAGAAAACCAGUAACUGAUCAGAAGCUAAAAAUAAUCAGAUAGAGAGUAACCAGCACUCCCUCUCUCCUUUCCACAGCAGCAACCACAGGAUCCUACUAACACAGAUGACCGACUGGUCUCCAAAAUGCAAUCCUCCAAAACACCUAACUCCUCCUACCCCCCACUCCAGGGGUCCCAGACACCUGCAUUCCUCCAUGGACCCGCACAAGGUCAGGUGGUCCAGCAUGCCUGGGCCAGUCCCAUGGAUGGACAUCCCACCAUAAUAUGAAGUGAGAAUUCUGCUAUAUAUAUCAAGAACCAAGACUCCUCUCCUCCUCACUGCUACUCCUGUUCACUCAACAGAUGUUGCCAGAGCACCUAGUAAGGCAGCAAGCUGGGCGCCACAGGGAGUGCAAGGACCACAGGUGCCUCCCUUUAAAAAGCAUAAACAACUAUGGGACAAGAUAGAAUGUCUGGUGUCAAGGGAACACAGCUGAGUGCUAUUUCCCAAUUUCCUGUUAAAGAAAAUAAAAGAGAUCCUAACUGGUCUUAGGAGAGAUCAGAUCCCA